rnacentral:rRNA from 1 species
AAUCAACGCUGGCGGCGUGCCUAACACAUGCAAGUCGAACGCGAAAGGGGGCGUUCGGCUCCUGAGUAGAGUGGCGUCCGGGUGAGUAACACGUAGGUAAUCUACCUUCGGGUGGGGAAGUAACCAGUCGAAAGAUUGGCUAAUACCGCAUAAUGCAGCGGCACCUAAUGGUGAUUAGUUGUUAAAGACGGGGGAGUCGUAAGACCUCGCGCCUGAAGAGGAGCCUGCGGCAGAUUAGCUAGUUGGUGAGGUAAUGGCUCACCAAGGCAUCGAUCUGUAGCUGGUCUGAGAGGACGGGCCAGCCACACUGGCACUGACACACGGGCCA